UUAGACGGGACCCGCACAAGCGGUGGAUGAUGUGGAUUAAUUCGAUGCAACGCGAAAAACCUUACCUACCCUUGACAUGUCCGGAAUCCCGAAGAGAUUUGGGAGUGCUCGCAAGAGAGCCGGAACACAGGUGCUGCAUGGCUGUCGUCAGCUCGUGUCGUGAGAUGUUGGGUUAAGUCCCGCAACGAGCGCAACCCUUGUCAUUAGUUGCCAUCAUUUGGUUGGGCACUCUAAUGAGACUGCCGGUGACAAACCGGAGGAAGGUGGGGAUGACGUCAAGUCCUCAUGGCCCUUAUGGGUAGGGCUUCACACGUCAUACAAUGGUCGGUACAGAGGGUUGCCAAGCCGCGAGGUGGAGCCAAUCCCAGAAAGCCGAUCGUAGUCCGGAUUGUAGUCUGCAACUCGACUACAUGAAGUCGGAAUCGCUAGUAAUCGCGGAUCAGCAUGUCGCGGUGAAUACGUUCCCGGGCCUU
rnacentral:rRNA from 1 species